AGCCGGUGACGGUGCGCGAAUCCCAAAAAUAACGUACUCAGUUCGGAUUGUAGUCUGCAACUCGACUACAUGAAGCUGGAAUCGCUAGUAAUCGCGGAUCAGAAUGCCGCGGUGAAUACGUUCCCGGGUCUUGUACACACCGCCCGUCACACCAUGGGAGUCGGAAAUGCCCGAAGUCUGUGACCGAACCGAAAGGAAGGAGCAGCCGAAGGCAGGUCGGAUGACUGGGUGAAGUCGUAACAAGGUAAC
rnacentral:rRNA from 1 species